rnacentral:rRNA from 1 species
UGUCAAAUCAUCAUGCCCCUUACGUCUUGGGCUACACACGUGCUACAAUGGCUAUUACAAAGAGCAGCAAACCCGCAAGGGGGAGCGAAUCUCAAAAAGAUAGUCUCAGUUCGGAUUGAGGGCUGAAACCCGCCCUCAUGAAGUCGGAGUUGCUAGUAAUCCCGAAUCAGCAUGUCGGGGUGAAUGCGUUCCCGGGUCUU